GUUACGGCGGUCAUAGCGAGAGGGAAACGCCCGGUCCCAUUCCGAACCCGGAAGCUAAGCCUUUCAGCGCCGAUGGUACUGCACUGGUGACGGUGUGGGAGAGUAGGACGCCGCCGGACA
rnacentral:rRNA from 1 species